rnacentral:rRNA from 1 species
AGGGCGUAUGGUGGAUGCCUUGGCAGACAGUACCGAUGAAGGACGUUUGAGGAUGCGAUAAUCCUAGGGGAGCCUCCAACAUGGCUUUGAUCCUAGGGUCUCCGAAUGGGGGAACCCGCCGGCCGUCAUGGGCCGGCACCGCACAUUGUUGCGGGGGGUACGCAGGGAAGUGAAACAUCUCAGUACCUGCAGGAAGGGAUACUCCGUGAGUAGUGGCGAGCGAAAGCGGAUCAGACCAAACCGGUUGCGCGUGAUACCCGUCGGGGGUUGCGUUGCCGGUGUUGUGGGAUCACGUGUCCCGGUUCCGACGGGCCGGGCGGGAGUCAUAAAACGGCUUGCCAGGGGAACAGGCUUGAAGGCCUGGCCGUAGAGGGUGCCAGCCCCGUACCUGGACGUGAGCCGUCUUCCGAUCGUGUUGUCCCAAGUAGCGCGGGCCUCGUGGAAUCCCGCGUGAAUCAGCCCAGACCGUUGGGUAAGUCUAAGCAUACCUGUCUGACCGAUAGCGUACCAGUACCGUGAGGGAAAGGUGAAAAGCACCCCGGGAGGGGAGUGAAACAGUUCCUGAAACCGUGCGCCCACAAACCGUCGGAGCCUCUGUGUGGGGUGACGGCGUGCCUAUCGAAAAAUGAGUCUGCGAGUCAGUGGCGGGUGGCGAGCAUAAGCCGUGUGGCGUAUGCGUAGCGAAAGCGAGUCUUAAAAGGCGUUUUUAGUCGCUUGUCCUGGACCCGAAGCGGGAUGAUCUAGCCCUGGGCAGGUUGAAGCGCGGGUAAGACCGCGUGGAGGACCGAACCCACCUGGGUUGAAAACCGGGGGGAUGACCUGGGGCUAGGGGUGAAAGGCCAAUCAAAUUCCGUGAUAGCUGGUUCUCUCCGAAAUGCAUUUAGGUGCAGCGUCGGUCGAUUGCGUCGCGGGGGUAGAGCUACCGGAUGCUUGCGGGCCCUUGUUGGGUACCAACAGCAGCCGAACUCCGAAUACCGUUGACGUGUAUUCCGGCAGUGAGUCGGCGGGGGAUAAGCUCCGUCGUCGAGAGGGAGACAGCCCAGACCGUCGUCUAAGGUCCCGAAGCGUGUGCUAAGUGGGAAAGGAUGUGGAGUCGCAUAGACAGCCAGGAGGUUGGCUCAGAAGCAGCCAUCCUUGAAAGAGUGCGUAACAGCUCACUGGUCUAGUGGUUCCGCGCCGACAAUGUAGCGGGGCUCAAGCACACCACCGAAGACGCGGCAGCAAUCUUCAUGGUUGCUGGGUAGGAGAGCGUCCUGCGAGGGGCGAAGCGGCCGGGUAACCGUGCCGUGGACUUCGUGGGAGUGAGAAUGCAGACAUGAGUAGCGAGAGACGGGUGAGGAUCCCGUCCGCUGGAUGACCAAGGGUUCCGGGGCCACGUUCGUCGUCCCCGGGUGAGUCGGGUCCUAAGGCGAGGCCGACAGGCGUAGUCGAAUGGAUGAACGGGUGGAUAUUCCCGUACCGACCAUGGACCGGCAAAACCGAGACGGUGAGUACUAACCUCCGCCUCGUGGUGGUUCCUUCCUUCGGGUUGGUCCCGCCGCGUGGUGUUGGGACUGUAGCCGCAGUAGGUCAGCGCAGGGGUGACACGGAAUGGGAGCCGGCCGCGGAGGUGGUUUUCCGUGGUCAAGCACGCAGCCAGUCAUGUAGGCAAAUCCGCAUGGCGCGCAUGGCGAGGUGUGAUGAUGGGAGCCGUUAUGGCUCGAUAUCCGGUUGUCCAGGCCGUCGAGAAAAGCCUCGGCGUGAGGGCCAUGGCCGCCCGUACCCCAAACCGACACUGGUGGUCAGGUAGAGAAUACCAAGGCGAUCGAGCGAAUCCUGGUCAAGGAACUCGGCAAAUCACUCCCGUGCCUUCGGUAUAAGGGAGACCCGCUGGGGUGAACCGGCUAGCCCGGGGAGCUUUGGUGGGUGGCACAGACCAGGGGGUAGCGACUGUUUACCAAAAACACAGGUGCAUGCGAAGGCGAAAGCCGCUGUAUAUGCACUGACGCCUGCCCGGUGCCGGAAGGUUAAGAGGAUCCGUCAGUCCCUUCGGGGAUGAAGCGGUGAAUUCAAGCCCCGGUAAACGGCGGUGGUAACUAUAACCAUCCUAAGGUAGCGAAAUUCCUUGUCGGGUAAGUUCCGACCUGCACGAAUGGCGUAA